GAGUGAAAUGAUGUUUUACCAUCUUUCGGGACUGAUAUGCAAUGGUGAGAAACUUCUUUACUGAUCACUC